CAGCAGCCGCGGUAAUACGUAGGGUGCGAGCGUUAAUCGGAAUUACUGGGCGUAAAGCGUGCGCAGGCGGUUGUGUAAGACAGGUGUGAAAUCCCCGGGCUUAACCUGGGAACUGCGCUUGUGACUGCACAGCUAGAGUAUGGCAGAGGGGGGUGGAAUUCCACGUGUAGCAGUGAAAUGCGUAGAGAUGUGGAGGAACACCGAUGGCGAAGGCAGCCCCCUGGGCCAAUACUGACGCUCAUGCACGAAAGCGUGGGGAACAAACAGGAUUAGAUACCCCAGUAGUCCCUGUCUCUUAUAC
rnacentral:rRNA from 1 species